rnacentral:rRNA from 1 species
AUUGAACGCUGGCGGCAGGCCUAACACAUGCAAGUCGAGCGGUAGAUGCUUUCGGGCAUUGAGAGCGGCGGACGGGUGAGUAACGCGUGGGAAUCUGGCUCUUAGAGGGGGACAACUUGUGGAAACGCAAGCUAAUACCGCAUACGCCCUAAGGGGGAAAGCAGGGGAUCUUCGGACCUUGCGCUAAGAGGUGAGCCCGCGUCGGAUUAGCUAGUUGGUAGGGUAAAGGCCUACCAAGGCGACGAUCCGUAACUGGUCUGAGAGGAUGAUCAGUCACACUGGAACUGAGACACGGUCCAGACUCCUACGGGAGGCAGCAGUGGGGAAUAUUGGACAAUGGGGGCAACCCUGAUCCAGCCAUGCCGCGUGUGUGAAGAAGGCCUUCGGGUUGUAAAGCACUUUAAGUUGGGAGGAAAGAGUGCUAGCUAAUAUCCAGUAUUUAUGACGUUACCAACAGAAUAAGCACCGGCUAACUCCGUGCCAGCCGCCGCUGUAA